CAUGGCUAUUGAAGCAAUCAUCUGCCCUUUCCACCAGGGAAGUCUUGACAUGCUUUGGGUAGGCAGCCCCCUUAAUUCACCACUAGAUUAGAAUCCUAUCAGUUACCCUCGCCCUGGUUUAUCCCAUAUGCUGGGGUAUGUGUGGCCACUGUGUGCUGUAGCUUCUUGGAGCCACAGGUGAGUUAGGUGGAUCAGGUAGACACCAAAGGUGGAAAGAAGGCUCAGCAGUCUUCAUAGCAGCAGGAUGAUAAGCAAUGGCUACAAGUUUCAAAGAAUAAGACUGAGAUUUCAUGGAUAGAGAAAGAGAUAAAUCAAAGUGUCCAGUGCAAUACAUAGUGCGCUGACUUGAGAAGUUUUCCUCUUAUUGGAGCCAUUUGAGCACAAAUUGGCAAAGUAGUAGAAUGGAUUUGAGUGUGUGCAGAUGGUCUAGAUCAGUGGUAUCAGACUCAAAUAAACUGUAAUAAGGAUUUCAAGGGGACUAUAUAUAGACUAAAAUCACAUAUUAGCAUUA